UGCAUCCCUACUCUAGACACUUCUGCUGGGUGCUGCCAUCUUGGAUUUGAUGUCAACAGCCCCAGAAGAGUCAGAGUGGUCACUCAAGUG